GUGCUUGCUUCGGCAGCACAGAUACUAAAAUUUGGAAUGAUACAGAGAAAAUUCUCAUGGCCCCUGGGCAAGGAUGACAUGCAAAUUCGUGAAGUGUUCCAUAUUUUU